ensembl:lncRNA
AGUCACAUGGGAAAAGAAUGAUUUAUCCAGAUGGGAUGCAUUUUUUACACUGUGAUUUCUUGUAUCUUACCUGAGCUGUAUCGCACACCUUUCAGAACAAUAGAAAAGGAAAGGCUAUGCCUGGAGCAUAUAGUCUAUGAGCACUGGGUGCUAUGUACCUUUCUGUUGGGCAAUUAUUUACAGUUGGCUGGAAGCACUCUAAACCUGAAGGCACAUCAAGACUAAGAGAUUAGUGAUAUAUUUGACCACUUCCACUCUUUGAGGUUUGAAAACUUUUGUCCUCAAGACAUUUGGCUUGUUAUAGUGCCUGAGGAGAUAAGCAGUGCUUAGUCUGUGUGUCAGUGGAGAGAAUGAAGGAGAGGAAAGAAUAAUUGGUGUGGGAAAUGUUCCUGCUGAAUGUCUAUAUUUUAAGAAACACUCAGUGCAUCCUUUCUCAAGCCAAUUCCUUCUAUUUCAGGAGGUUCACAUAACACAAACUGGUAUGUGUGCCACAGUUUGGGAAACAUUCAUCUAUUACACCAGUUCCUGAUGGUAGGAAGCUAGAUAUGUUUGCCUAUUCCAUUCUAUCUUCUAUCAUAUUUAUAUGUAUAGGAAGAAAGCUUUCACUUGAGUCAUCAAAUCCAUAUAGCCAGACCAGUUGAACUAAAAGAAAAGAAAAGAAAAGAAACACAAGACUUGUUUACAUUUAUGAAUGAAACUCCUUUCUCACGCUUUGGAAAUAAGACAUAAAGAGGAUACCAAACAUCACUUAAAAAAUGGUUGAUGAUCUGGUUGAGCACAGUCAUGGUUGGUGACUGCCUAGCCCUCCAGUUUGUCAAGAUCUCUCUUCUACUGUUUCAAGCAAAAAUGUGCAUGUAGCAAAUGAUAUAUACAAUUGGAAUAAUUACUCACCUCAUAUACUCCUUUUCAUAAAGCAUGAAAGUGUAUUGUCAGCUCGCUAUUAGUUCACAUUCAGUUAUCACAUGAGAACUGUAGUGAGCUACUGUUCUUCUAGGUCGUCCAUGGAGAGGGCAGAAAUAAGAAGGCAUGAGACACACUAAAUGAAAUCAGAGAGGCGUAAAUAAUACAUGGAUAACAGACGGAUGUUUAAUAAUCCCAAAUAAUUAUUUUUAGGAGGGAUCCCUCUUACAGAGAUUAAUAACAAAACGUAAGAUCUUGCAUUAGGUUUGAAUCACACUAAGUUGUAUCUCUAAUCUUACAUUUACAUAACUAUAUGAUUACUCAACCUUCAAAAAUACACAGAACUCAGCAGCUAUUAAUAGUACUCAUUACUUUUGGUCUUUUUUGGGAAUUUUUCAACACUGAGAAAUACCCCAUGCAAAUGAACAAACAAAAAGUGUGCUAUCACAGUACUUCCAUGACCCAAUUCUGUUUUCUGAACUCUUAUUCUCUCACUCACUUCCUUCAGAGCACUUCUCAGUUUCCAACACAUGCUCCUGAAAAUAAUUCUUGAAAAAUGUUUUCAGGGUCAGAGACUAGAGUCAUUCUGUGUCUGUGGUAGUUUAUCAAGUCCGUUAAAGCCAAUACACUCUGUCCCAAUAAAGAAAUCGAGAUUAAAAAUAUAUAUAUUUCUAUAUGAUAGAAGAGAAAAUAUUAAAUAGCAGUUUGCAUUCUACUAUUCCAGAUGAAUUCUGCAGUCUGUUUUCUAGUUUCAGAUAUUUUCCUUAGGCCUGAAACAGUCAAAUCUUAUUGUUUACUCUCAAUAGUGACCAUUGGGUACAAAGAGCACCCAAGCAAUUCUGGCCAUUGGCUGAUUAUUUCCACAGGAGAAACCCAGAUAUCAUGCUAUCUCCCACUUGUAUAUGAUUUAGAUUUAUGUUAGUGCACAGAAAAGACCUUGAGAAGAAUGAAAAAAGGUCCACAUUUUUUCAAGAAGAAAAAAUAGUUUUUGACAUAUGGGGCCAGACUUAAGAAAAUAAUGAGCUCAGUGGGGCUCUGGCAGAGUCACUGUAUGGUUGUCGAGAGUUAUCCUGAAGUUAUUUUACUUUCUAAGGUAAGGAUAAAAGAUGAUGUUCUUAUGUUCACUUUGAACUUUCCUGAUUGCUACUGCUUCUUCACCAUAACAGACAAAACAGACUUCAUGCCUAGACAGUGAUAGUGUUUACAGGACCUAUUCUGAGCUUCCAUCUUAGUUUACUGAGUAAAGUCAAGUAAAUCACAAUGAACUGUCUGAUUAUAAAUUAGGUGUCACACCUGCCCUGCAGGGGCAAUGUCCAGAAUAAUUGGCAUUAGAGAAGAACAUGAGGAUCAUUGGAUGAGGGUGAUAAUUUCCGUGCCAAAUGUUGGUAGGAAUACUAACAGAAGGAAGCCUUAACAACUGUGUUUGAAUCCACAUGCAUUUGACAAUCUAGCAAACAGAGUUCAGAGGAGUUCAGGGCUGCAGUUUUGAACCAGCUCUCCACUUUGUGGAACAAAACAAUUGCAAAAUAUGUUUCCUAGGUGUUCUCCCUUACCCACUUCUUUUUAUUCCCUUCCUUGUCACCAGUUCACCUUCUAUUCUACAAACUUCUCUAUGUUUGAAGUCAUAUCUAACUUCAUUACUUCAAAGUUUUUAUUACUCCACUGACUAUGUAUCAGACACUUUCAAAAUACUAUUUCAUCUGUGGCUCAUGAGAUUCAGAAGUUAUAAAUUUAUUGAAUGAGAAGUAUGUUAUGAUCAGGAAAGAGCUACAGUUCUAAGUAACAGAUCUUGCACAUUGCUUCUGAAAGCCAGUCAAUUCUAUCAAUGAAAAAUAAAAAGAAAAGAAAUAAGUAACAAAUUUUUGUUCCUCUUUUCCCAUAAAUUAAAACAAUUUCAUCUAGUGAGAUG